ensembl:lncRNA
ACUCUAUAGACUAUAGCCUACUAGGCUUCUCUGUCAGGAAUUCUCCAGCCAAGAAUACCUGAGUGGGUAAGCCAUUCCCUUCUCCAGGAAAUGUUCCUGACCCAAGGAUCAAACCUGGGUUUCCCACAUUGCAGGCAAAUUCUUUACUGCCUGAGCCACCAGGGAAGCCCAUGAAAUCACCUUCAGGGCUUUUUGAAUUUUUAAGCGUUUUUUUUCUGGGAGGGGAAAUGAGACUCCCAGGGGCUCCCUCUUAGGGUUUCUGGGUUCGGGCCCCCGGUCACUCCACGUAGACUGAACUGUUGCUUAAAUAAAAUCCUCCCAGCAAGUAGCGCAAGUAUCUCCAGCUGUGCUUACACGAUGCAAUCUCCUGAGGUUCCAUCCCAGCCCUAUUACAUAGAAACUUCUGGACUUCUGGGAGUGGAGCCCAGGCAAUAGCUCUAUUUUGAAGUCCCUCAGAUGACUCACAUGGGCCGCCAAGGUCAAGAAUCAUGGAAGGGGUUGGGAGGCUUCAUGAACUGCAGCCCUGUGGACUCACUUGCAAAGUAACAAGAUGGAGGAGGAUCUUAGCUCCCUAACCAGGGAUGGAACCUGUGCCCCCUGCAUUGUGAGUGUGGAGUCUUAACCUCUAAACCCCAGCCUGCAGUUUCUUCCUGAUGACAUUCCCCUAGGAGCAGGAGGGUGCUUCAGAGGUCAACUUCUGGAAACAGGAAACAGUGAUUAGCAAAUCAAUUCAUUAAGGUCCGGUGAGCCAUUGGAUUACAAAGAGCAGCUAUUUGUUAACUGAAGACAGAUCUCGGCCCCUGAUGAGAGCUCUGGUUCUUGGAGGAGGCAACCAAGACAACAGAGGAAGACAGUUGCAGGCCCUGCCAAUGUGUGAAAUUCCUGCAGCCCGGCUCCGCUGAUGACAGAAAUGACCGUAAUAAACCAGGGAGGCCACAAGUCAAACAAAUAGUUUGGUUGACAAAUAGGCGUAUAAACAAGACCUUGAUUAAUGAAUUUCCUAAUAGUUCUCUGUUUAUUGACUCAGCUUGGUCAUUAGGCCUGACAUUGCCCAUAUACUUUGUAUGGUACACUAUCUUCCAUUCAUUCUAAGACUCCUUUAUCAGUCUUUUUGUUGGGUAUUUUCUGUCUCUCAGUUUUGUCUCCUGGGUUGGACCAUGAGCCUCGAGCUCUGAGAACUCAUCAUGUGCUUAUUGAAAGGACAGCGAAGUUACGGAGCUCCCUAAAAUGAGAGAAGUGAGAAGGGCCUCCAACUGCAGCAUCCUAAGUCGUCAGCGCUGGCCUGGGAGCUGGGUUCUAGGGCCCUUUCAUUAUAACUUCCGUUGCCAUUUUCACUAAUCGCUUAAACCUGCUGUUUGGAUGCCUCCAUCUUCUGAGGUAAGGUGGAAGGGAGU